rnacentral:lncRNA from 1 species
CAAAUGCUGUGUGAGAGAGGUCGGUACUUGGCAGCUUGGAGGUCUUAUGGGGCACAGUUAACCCUGUGCAUGUUAGGAAAGUGACCUCUUGUGCAACACCUCUCAUCAUCUCAGCACACCUUUUACUCCAGCUAUUGCCAUGGCAACAAGCUUCACACAAGUGCAAACUGACAGCACCGUGCAUCUCUCCCUUUCUGCAUCAGGGCUCCUCAGGCUCAAGCACAACCUGGAAAAACGAAGGUGUUAAUGUUCCAUGAGGCAACUGAUGACCAAUGGGGAGCAGGAGCUGGUGAAUGAAUGUUCCCUUCAUCCAUCCUGCAGCUUCUACAUUGUUCUUCAUCUCUGGGAAAUCAGUGACCCAUGGACUGGACAAUAACUUUGAGCCAUGCAGUCAAAAUAAAAUGGAAUAUUUAAGUGAAAGAUCAGGUUCUGGAAAAUAAAACUGCUCGUAGCUGCAUAUUAUCUACCGAACUUAGGUGGAUUCUCAGAAAGAAAAAGGUGAUGUUCACUGGCAUGAACAGUGAAUGGUGGAGUGGAACGUGAACAGGCUGGAGCUCUGGCUGUGCCAUUUAUUAGCCAUGUGCCUUUAGAAGGUCCUCAUCUUCUCCAGCCUCAGUUUCACCAUCUGUAAUGGUAGGAGUAUCCAUGACCCAGAGAGAGUAUCAGUGUCAAGAAUCUGCCAGUGAGAAAGUGAUUUGAAGCAGCUCUGGAGUUCAGAUGGCCACGGGUGCAAGUGCCUGCUCUGGUGUGCUUUGCCUCUGGAAAGAUGCCAAGUCUUUGAGAAUCUUUGCUGCAUCAGCCAUGCUACAUCCUGAGGACUUGGAGGUGAGGAAAUCCUGUGUGCACUUGUUUCCUUCCCUUCAAAUGAUAUAUCCCAGAAAAAUGGCAAGCUCUCUGCUUACUAACUCUUUUCUUUUUCUUUAGUUCCCCCUUAGCUUUCUCUCUCCUUUCUUCCGUCUUUCUCUUGCCUCCUUUCAUUUUUGGUAAAAUCCAAAGCGAAAUGUCAACUCAGAGGACAUAGCUGUUUGUCUUCACCACCUACAAACUGUAUUUCCUGGAUCAAGCCGCUUAACUCCAUUGAACUGUUUUUAGCAUCCUGAAAAUGGGGAAUCACACUUUCCACUUAUCCAAGCAUUUGCUCAUUCGUUUAUUAAUAAUGUAACACCCUUGAAUGCCAGGCCCUGAACUGAAGAUAUGGUCCUGACCCACUGGGUAGUCACAGGAGAGUGGAGAAUAAUGCUUCAUUUGCUAUGUUGCUUCAAGAAUUACAUAAAAUAAGGCAGUUAAAAAUAUUUUGUGAACCAAAUAGUGCAUUAUGAAAAGAUAUUAACACUUCUUACUUUCUUAUAGCAAUUUCUAAAUGAUUUAAUUUCUGCCAUCAAAAUAUCCCCCUUGUGUUGAUCUAAACCAUCAGAUUGCAAGGUAAAGCCCUGAUGUAACUGAUGAGAUGAAGAACACUGUAUGGCCAUUAUUUUAGGUACGAUAAACAUUUGACUUCUCUUACAGAGACCUAAGGAAAAUGACUUAAAUAGGGUAGAAAUGUCUUUCUCAUGUAACAAGCCAUGCAUUAGCAGACCAGGGCUAGUGUGACAGUUCCUCCAUGGGUCACUGUGUGGUUCAUUAAGGUGUUGUCCUCCUUGGCAUGACCCACGAUGGCUGCCAGUGUAACAGCUGAAUGUCAACCAGCAAGACAGAGGUGAGGGGUGGGGAGGAGGGCAUGCCUCUUCCCUCUGAGAAAUUGCCCACCUACUUCUGUUUAUGUCCCAUGAGCCAAAAUUUAGAAUUAGGUGUCUCCACCUAGCUUCAGGGAGGCUUGGGAACUGAAGUCUUUAUCCUGGGCAUUCUAGCAUACCCUACAUCCAAUCUGUCAAAGUUGCAUUUAGAAUCCAGCCCCUUCUCACCACCUUUACUUCUUUCAUGGCGGUCCAAGCCACUUUCACUGGAUGACGGCAGUAGCCACCUAACUGGCUUCUCUGCUUCUUCUCUUGCCCUCCACUGAAAUCUUUGCUCAGCGCACGUUGAAUAAUGACUCUUUUAGGAUGUAAGCCAGAUUUUUCAACUCCUCUGCUCAAACCCCUGCAAUGGCUUGCUAGGCCCUGUGGGAUUAGGCCUUUGCUACCUGUCCCUUCCUUCCAUCCUCCCUCCUCCCUUGCUUACUCCACUCCAGCCACAUCUGCUCCCUUCCUGGCCUCAGGAAGGCAGACAUGCUGUUGGGUAGGGAUUUUCAUCGGUCGUUCCUUCAGCCUAAAAAUUGUCCAUUUCAGAUAUUCACAGGGCUCAUUCCCUCGCCUCCUUCAAAUCUUUCCUCAAAUGUCACCUUCUUAUAGAGGUCUAUCAUGACUUCUCUACUUAAAAUGGCAAGACCUGCUUCCCAACUUUUGGCACUCCUAAUCUGCCUUAUCUUAUUCUUUUUUUUUUUUUUUUUUUUUUCACAGCAGGGACAUUUUCUAAUAUAGGUUUAUACUUUACUUAUUUACUAUCUUUAGUGUGUGUGUGUGUGUGUGCCUCUUCCCUUGCUAGAAUGACAGCUCCCUGAAGGCAAGGAUUUUUUUUUCUUCCCUGAUGUAUCCCCAGUACCUAAAAGAGUGCCUGGUGUAUAAUAGAUAAUAAAUAUUUCUUGAAUAUAAGCUUGCAUGAAGAGAUGGAGCCGAAUCCAGUUCUGAUGACAUCAUUUGAGCUCUGGUUCCAUGUGCCUAAAGCAAGAAUUCUACACUUUUCAGUUCCAUGGGUCAAUAAAUUUUCUUGUGUUUAUUUAUUUAAUUGGAAGACUAUUAUUUAACUAAAUCAAUUAGA